GGAGGAAAGUAGGGGAUCGAAAGACCUUAUGCUUUUGGAGCGGCCGAUGUCUGAUUAGCUAGUUGGUAAGGUAAUGGCUUACCAAGGCAACGAUCAGUAGUUGGUCUGAGAGGACGACCAGCCACACUGGGACUGAGACACGGCCCAGACUCCUACGGGAGGCAGCAGUGGGGAAUUUUGGACAAUGGGCGCAAGCCUGAUCCAGCAAUGCCGCGUGAGUGAAGAAGGCCUUCGGGUUGUAAAGCUCUUUCAGUUGAGAAGAAAAGAUUGUGACUAAUAAUUGCAAUUCAUGACGGUAUCAACAGAAGAAGCACCGGCUAACUACGUGCCAGCAGCCGCGGUAAUACGUAGGGUGCGAGCGUUAAUCGGAAUUACUGGGCGUAAAGGGUGCGCAGGCGGUUCUGUAAGUCAGAUGUGAAAUCCCCGGGCUUAACCUGGGAACUGCGUUUGAAACUACAAAGCUAGA
rnacentral:rRNA from 1 species